GAGGCUUCUCCCUUUCUCGGUCACGGGACUUCUCCCUCUCCCGAACUUCUACAUCCCUUCCGCGUUCACGAGACCUGUCCCUGGACCGUUCAUGUCGUCGUUCAUCCCGAAUCCUUGGCUCCUCAGAUCUAGGAGGUCCCCCAGAUGCAAUUUGUUGUUGGUCCCUGCCAGAAUGCUUUUGGUUAAGUUCUUCACCUCCAACCCGUGUUGAACCUAAUCCACCACCCAAUCUCCGUGGCCGCCAAUUCGGUACAGUUCUACCACGCUCCAC
rnacentral:misc_RNA from 1 species